rnacentral:rRNA from 1 species
CAUUCCUACGGGGGGCAGCAGUGGGGGAUAUUGCACAAUGGGGGGAACCCUGAUGCAGCGACGCCGCGUGGGUGAAGGAGUGCUUCGGCAUGUAAAGCCCUAUCGGCAGGGAAGAAGCAAGACGGUACCUGACUAAGAAGCCCCGGCUAACUACGUGCCAGCAGCCGCGGUAAUACGUAGGGGGCAAGCGUUAUCCGGAUUUACUGGGUGUAAAGGGAGCGUAGACGGCUGUGCAAGUCUGAAGUGAAAGCCCGUGGCUCAACCGCGGAACUGCUUU